GACGAACGCUGGCGGCGUGCUUAACACAUGCAAGUCGAACGGAAAGGCCCUGCUUUUGUGGUGUUCUCGAGUGGCGAACGCGUGCGUAACACGUGAGUAUCCUGCCCUUGACUUUGGUAUAACUUCAGGAAACUGGAGCUACUCCAGUAUAGCAUCCCCUGCUGCAUUGUGGGCGUUGGAACUUUUCGCCGGUUGGGGUUGGAUUCGCGGCUUACGGGCUUGUUGGUGGGGUAGUGGCGUACCAAGGCUUUGACGGGUCGACGGCCGGUGAGGGUGACCGGCAACAUUGGGACUGAGGUACGGCCCAGACUCCUACGGGAGGCAGCAGUGGGGAAUAUUGCACAAUGGGCGGAAGCCUGAUGCAGCAACGCCGCGUGCGGGAUGACGGCCUUCGGGUUGUAAACCGCUUUCGCCUGUGACGAAGCGGGAGUGACGGUAAUGGGUAAAGAAGCACCGGCUAACUACGUG
rnacentral:rRNA from 1 species